rnacentral:rRNA from 1 species
GACGAACGCUGGCGGCGUGCUUAACACAUGCAAGUCGAACGGAAAGGCCCUGCUUGCAGGGUGCUCGAGUGGCGAACGGGUGAGUAACACGUGGGUGAUCUGCCCCUUACGUUGGGAUAAGCCUGGGAAACUGGGUCUACUACUGGAUAGGACCAUGCUGUAGGUGGUGUGGUGGAAAGAUUAGUUUCGGUAAGGGAUGAGCUCGCGGCCUAUCAGCUUGUUGGUGGGGUAAUGGCCUACCAAGGCGUCGACGGGUAGCCGGCCUGAGAGGGUGGACGGCCACAUUGGGACUGAGACACGGCCCAGACGCCUACGGGAGGCGGCAGUGGGGAAUAGUGUACUAUGGGCGCAAGCCGGAUGCAGCGACGGCGCGUGGGGGAUGACGGCCUUCGGGUUGUAACCUACUUUCUGCCAUGAAGAAGCCCGUGUGGUGACGGUAGUGGAAGAAGAAGCACCGGCUAACUACGUG